UCCACCGUAGCUCAGUGGUAGAGCAAUCGGCUGUUAACCGAUUGGUCGUAGGUUCGAGUCCUACCGGUGGAGCCA
rnacentral:tRNA from 1 species